UCGAGGGGCAGCAUAUAGUAGCAAUACUUUGGUGGCGACCGGSGCACGGGGGAGUGAAGGGUAUGCAACCUACCUAUCAGAGGGGAAUAACUGGCGAAAGGCGGACUAAUACCGCAUAAAACAGGGGCACCGCAUGGUGAUAUUUGUUAAAGAAAUUCGCUGAUAGYUGGGCAUGCGUUCCAUUAGGUAGUUGGUGAGGUAACGGCUCACCAAGCCGACGAUGGAUAGGGGAACUGAGAGGUUGGUCCCCCACACUGGUACUGAGACACGGACCAKACUCCUACGGGAGGCAGCAGKGAGGAAUAUUGGUCAAUGGGCGAGAGCCUGAACCAGCCAAGUCGCGUGAAGGAAGAAGGAUCUAUGGUUCGUAAACUUCUUUUGCAGGGRAAUAAAGUGCGGGACGUGUCCUGUUUUGUAUGUACCCUGACAAUAAGGAUCUGYUAACUCCGWGCCAACAGYCGCGGUAAUACRGAKGACCSAGCGUUAUCCGGAUUUAUUGGGUUUAAAAGGGUGCGUAGGUGGUUUGAUAAGUCUGCGGGAAAMGUUUGCAGCUUAACUGUAAAAAUGCCGUUGAAACUGYCKGACUUUSA
rnacentral:rRNA from 1 species